rnacentral:lncRNA from 1 species
ACCUCCAUCACUUGGCACCUUAUUUUUUUCUUCUUUUUCUUCCCUUUCUUAAAGGGACCACAUCUACCUGAAGAAGAUGCUCCCACUACAUUCACCAUCUCUUUGUGGAGUUGGUGAUCUUUCUCAUAAGUCUAUAGCAACCCCAAUAAACUGUGGUAGUGUACUAUAGAUUUUGUCAUUCGAUAAUGACUAAGAAAUGGUAAGCAGAACUUCAGUAGGAAAUUUAGAAUCACAUCUUUUCCAAGCUGUUCGUACAAGAGAAAGCUGAGCUUGUUGAAGCACUUGAUCUAUUCGAUCAUGUAUAAUAUAUGAAC